rnacentral:rRNA from 1 species
AACGAACGUUAGCGGCGCGCCUAACACAUGCAAGUCGCACGAGAAAGGGCUUCGGCCCCGGUAAAGUGGCGCACGGGUGAGUAACACGUGGGUAAUCUGCCCUCGAGCAGGGGAUAACAUUCCGAAAGGAGUGCUAAUACCGUAUAAGACCACGACCUCGAUAGAGGAUGCGGUCAAAGCUGGCCUCUAUACAUAAGCUAGCACUUGAGGAUGAGCCCGCGGCGCAUCAGGUAGUUGGUGAGGUAAUGGCUCACCAAGCCUAAGACGCGUAGCUGGUCUGAGAGGAUGAUCAGCCACACUGGAACUGAGACACGGUCCAGACUCCUACGGGAGGCAGCAGUGGGGAAUCUUGCGCAAUGGGCGAAAGCCUGACGCAGCGACGCCGCGUGAGUGAUGAAGGCCUUCGGGUUGUAAAGCUCUGUGGGGAGGAACGAAUAAGUCAUGGCUAAUAUCCAUGGUGAUGACGGUACCUCCUUAGCAAGCACCGGCUAACUCUGUGCCAGCCGCCGCAGUAAGAC